rnacentral:rRNA from 1 species
CAGCCGCCGCGGCAAUACCGGCGGCCCGAGUGGCGGUCACUAUUAUUGGGCUUAAAGCGUCCGUAGCCGGGUUGGGAAGUCCUCCGGGAAAUCUGGCCGCUUAACGGUCAGAAUGCCGGAGGAUACUCCCAGCCUAGGGAGCGGGAGAGGCCGAGGGGAUUCCCGGAGUAGGGGUGAAAUCCUAUAAUCCCGGGAGGACCACCUGUGGCGAAGGCGCUCGGCUGGAACGCGUCCGACGGUGAGGGACGAAGGCCAGGGGAGCAAACCGGAUUAGAUACCCGGGUAGUCCUGGCUGUAAACGAUGCGGACUUUGUGUCGGACAAGCUAUGAGCUUGUCCGGUGCCGGAGGGAAACCGUUAAGUCCGCCGCCUGGGGAGUACGGCCGCAAGGCUGAAACUUAAAGGAAUUGGCGGG